AGUGAACGCUGGCGGUAGGCCUAACACAUGCAAGUCGAACGGCAGCACAGUAAGAGCUUGCUCUUACAGGUGGCGAGUGGCGGACGGGUGAGGAAUACAUCGGAAUCUACUUUUUCGUGGGGGAUAACGUGGGGAAACUUACGCUAAUACCGCAUACGACCUACGGGUGAAAGCAGGGGAUCUUCGGACCUUGCGCGAUUGAAUGAGCCGAUGUCGGAUUAGCUAGUUGGCGGGGUAAAGGCCCACCAAGGCGACGAUCCGUAGCUGGUCUGAGAGGAUGAUCAGCCACACUGGAACUGAGACACGGUCCAGACUCCUACGGGAGGCAGCAGUGGGGAAUAUUGGACAAUGGGCGCAAGCCUGAUCCAGCCAUACCGCGUGGGUGAAGAAGGCCUUCGGGUUGUAAAGCCCUUUUGUUGGGAAAGAAAAGCAGCAGGUUAAUACCCCGCUGUUCUGACGGUACCCAAAGAAUAAGCACCGGCUAACUUCGUG
rnacentral:rRNA from 1 species